rnacentral:rRNA from 1 species
UACGGAGGGUGCGAGCGUUGUCCGGAAUCAUUGGGCGUAAAGGGCGCGUAGGCGGCUCAUGAAGGCUGUGGUGAAAGUCCGGGGCUCAACCUCGGAUCGGCCGUGGCGACUCGUGGGCUGGAGCACUGUAGAGGCGGGUGGAAUUCCGGGUGUAGCGGUGGAAUGCGUAGAGAUCCGGAAGAACACCAGUGGCGAAGGCGGCUCACUGGCCCGAUACUGACGCUGAGGCACGAAAGCGUGGGGAGCAAACAGG